GUGCUUGCUUUGGCAGCACAUAUAUUAAAAUUGAAACAAUAUGAGGAAGAUUAACACGGGCCCUGUGCAAGGAUGACACACAAAUUCAUGAAGCGUUCCAUAUUUUU
ensembl:snRNA U6 U6 spliceosomal RNA